rnacentral:rRNA from 1 species
CACCGCGGUCACACAAGAGACCCAAAUUAACUGUAAUACGGCGUAAAGAGUGGCACUAUGCUAUCGCAACAACUAAGAUCAAAGCACAACUGAGCUGUCAUAAGCCCAAGAUGUAUCUAAAGCCACCAUCAAGACGAUCUUAGCAAUAACGACAAAUUAAACUCCACGAAAGCUAGGGCA